UUGUUUUAUGUGUGUUUUUCAGGAUUACAUUUCUGUGCGGAAGGAUUAAAAAAACUACACCAGACUGGUGGCCAUGAAAGAUGUCAGUGGGAAAUUUAAACAUGGACUAGAUACUUUGAUGUGUAGCAAAAAAGUUCAUCAUUGAUGGUGGUGUUUUUCUGUGAUAUAUUGACUGGGAUAGUAUUACUCUUCAGAAAUACAGAGCUGUCAAUGCUGCAAUUUUGUUGUGAAAUUCACAAUCCAUGUCCAAAAGUGCUUGUUUUACUAUACAGCAAAGAAGGAGAAAUUGUACCGGGCCGACACCUAUAUGGCAAAUUCAGAAAGUGGAAUAUCUCAGCAACCAUACGGUUUACAGUCAUGAAACUUCACACACUAGUAGCUGAUAACAAUACAAAUCAGUGGCUAAAAGGAUAUUUCCAAGGCGAUGAAUUUCAUAUGUCAGUAGGAAUUUAGAAUCGUACAACCAGUCAGCAGCUACCCAUAAACCAGACCAACCUAUUAAGUCAAGCGGGCAGAAGCUGUGAUUCCCAGUGUAACACCGCAGAAUGACGGCUGGUUUUCGGAUUACAUUUCUGUGCGGAAGGAUUAAAAAACUACACCAGACUGGUGGCCAUGACAGAUGUCAGUGGGAAAUUUAAACAUGGACUAGAUACUCUGAUGUGUAGCAAAAAAGUUCAUCGUUGAUGGUGGUGUUUUUCUGUGAUAUAUUGACUGGGAUAGUAUUAAUCUUCAGAAAUACAGAGCUGUCAAUUAUGCUGCAAUUUUGUUGUGAAAUUCACAA